CAGUAGCCGCGGGAAUACGGAGGGUGCAAGCGUUAAUCGGAAUUACUGGGCGUAAAGCGCACGCAGGCGGUCUGUUAAGUCAGAUGUGAAAUCCCCGAGCUUAACUUGGGAACUGCAUUUGAAACUGGCAAGCUAGAGUCUUGUAGAGGGGGGUAGAAUUCCAGGUGUAGCGGUGAAAUGCGUAGAGAUCUGGAGGAAUACCGGUGGCGAAGGCGGCCCCCUGGACAAAGACUGACGCUCAGGUGCGAAAGCGUGGGGAGCAAACAGGAUUAGAUACCCCCGUAGUCCAUGUCUCUUAUAC
rnacentral:rRNA from 1 species